AUUGAACGCUGGCGGCAGGCCUAACACAUGCAAGUCGAGCGAGCGGCGGACGGGUGAGUAAUGUAUGGGGACUGCCCGAUAGAGGGGGAUAACUACUGGAAACGUUGGCUAAUACCGCAUACUAUCGGAUAACCCAUAUGGGAUUAGCUAGUAGGUGGGGUAAAGGCUCACCUAGGCGACGAUCUCUAGCUGGUCUGAGAGGAUGAUCAGGCAAACUGGGAAUGAGACACGGCCCAGACUCCGACGGAGGCAGCAGGGGGGAAGAUGGCACAAUGGGCGCAAGCCUGAUGCAUCCAUGCCGCGUGGAUGAAGAAGGACUUAGGGUUUUAAAGUACUUUCAGCGGGGAGGCGUUACCCUCAGAAGAAGCACCGGCUAACUCCGUGCCAGCAGCCGCGGUAAUAC
rnacentral:rRNA from 1 species